rnacentral:tRNA from 1 species
GGAGGGGUGGCCGAGCGGUUGAAGGCGCACGAUUGGAAAUCGUGUAUACGUUCAUAGCGUAUCGUGGGUUCGAAUCCCAUCCCCUCCGCCA